rnacentral:lncRNA from 1 species
GGGACAUUACCGAGGAGGCAAGAUGCACAAGAGGCUAAUGCUCAUUUCCUGUGAAAGGAACCAAGGAUGUCAAUGUAAAUUGGAAAGGAUAGAAACUGGGCAGGCAUGUGGGGCUUUGGCUUACAUUUCAGGAACAUGUUGUGUCUAGUGAUUGCUCACAAUUGCGAAAAGAAAAAGCGAAGGAAAGGGGCUCCACUUGACAACAACUGCAUUUCAAUAAAUUCUACCCUUGAACCAAUGUCAGGAGGUUAUAUCUACUACAAAGAAUAUAAUCUGGGAAGGAGUUUCUGAGAACUACUAGGAAUCUAGGAAUUCAAACUGUGUGGUGUAAGU